CACACAACUCUCAAUAAACAACAAUCAUAAUCUUCCAUCUAUAAUCAAUCUUCCAAUAACUUUUCAUAUAAUUCAAUCACUCAGUACUCCAAUUACAUAAUCAAUAACUCAUAAAUCAAUCUCUGAUUUUUUCCACAGACUCACUUCUCAAUAUUCAAAAAUUAUCCAUCAUUCUUCAACAACAAAGAAAACAAAAAAAAAUAAAGAGGAAGCACCAAGCUUAAUCCCAGCUCAUGACUAUCACAGUCUAAUAUCCCAACAAACUUCUACAACUCCUAUAUAAUUGCUACUGAUUUCCAGAUCUUAAUCGUAAUCCUAUAAUAACUACUUUUAAUAACUGAAAUAAUCAUCUAUCCUCUCAAACUGACUAUUCUAUGGACUAUUAGUUUAUUUUACCAAUAUCUUACAAAAAUGAACUAAUAUCUAUUCUACAUAGCCUCACUCCUAUCUGUGUAGCAUCUUCGCAAAGUCACAAUAAAUACCUAUCUAAAAACUACUUAACAAAACUCUAUAAAAUUACUAGUUCCUUUGGUCCACCCAAUUAAUCAUUUGUUGUAUUAUCGAAUGUAGGUUCCACCAAUU
rnacentral:lncRNA from 1 species